rnacentral:rRNA from 1 species
UACGUAGGUGGCAAGCGUUAUCCGGAUUUACUGGGUGUAAAGGGCGUGUAGGCGGGAGUGCAAGUCAGAUGUGAAAACUAUGGGCUCAACCCAUAGCCUGCAUUUGAAACUGUACUUCUUGAGUGCAGAAGAGGAGAGUGGAACUCCAUGUGUAGCGGUGAAAUGCGUAGAUAUAUGGAAGAACACCAGUGGCGAAAGCGGCUCUCUGGUCUGUAACUGACGCUGAGGUUCGAAAGCGUGGGUAGCAAACAGG